rnacentral:rRNA from 1 species
AGACCGAUAGGAACAAGUAGAGUGAUCGAAAGAUGAAAAGCACUUGGAAAGAGAGUUAAACAGUACGUGAAAUUGUUGAAAGGGAAGCGCUUGCAAUCAGACUUGCACUUGGUGUUCAUCAGGGUCUCGUACCCUGUGUACUUCAUCAAGUUCAGGCCAGCAUCAGUUUGAGUGGUUAGAUAAAGGCUUAGAGAAUGUGGCCCUCUUCGGGGGGUGUUAUAGCUCUAGGUGCAAUGUAGCCUACUUGGACUGAGGACCGCGCUUCGGCUAGGAUGCUGGCGUAAUGGUUGUAAGCGACCCGUCUUGAAACACGGACCAAG